rnacentral:tRNA from 249 species
UGCGGGGUGGAGCAGUCUGGUAGCUCGUCGGGCUCAUAACCCGAAGGUCGUUGGUUCAAAUCCAGCCCCCGCUACCA